UACGCCUCACCGCACACACACGCACAUACACACAACUAGUAUCUAUGCAUCUUUGUAACUUUAUCCCUAUAAAUAUGACUCACUGGCUUGCUGAAGCAGAGAAGAUAAGUUUAAAUCAGGUAAAUGCUGACAAUCUAAGAAUGAUGAAGGGAAGAUAAAUUAAUUGUUUGCUCAAGGAACUGACUGUUAAACUUUUUGCUUUCAAAUUUGCAUAGAGUGGAGCCUAGAAGCUUCCUGAAUGUCUUCCUGCUGCACUUUUCACCUCCAUUUCUAUCCCUGCUAGCAAAAGAAGAGCCUAAUGGUGACAUCCCAUACCUAGGGGAGCUUUUGAGGUCACAGGCGUUGCUCUGAAGGUAUUUUGUAGAUGCGGUCAACAUCUUCAAUCAGCUGACUUUAAGGAAAGGAGAUUAUCUUCAGUCAUCUGGGUGGGGCUCAUCCAUCUAUUCAACUAUUCACCAUCCAACUAUCAGUUCAAAGUCCUUAGGAGCCAAACUGAGGUUUCCUUGAAGAAGAAGAAAUUCUGCCUCAAGACUGCAGCCUCAGCUCCAGCCCGAAAGUUUCGAGCCUGCCAGCUCCCCUACAAAUUUCAGGCUUGCCAUACCCUACAAUUGUGUAAGCCAAUUCCUUGAAAUAAAUGUCUUUAUAUGUGUAAUCUCUUAUUAUAUAUGUGGGUGGGUGCCUGUGUGUGCCUGUGUGUGCCUGUAUAUGUGUAUUUUCUCUGGAGAACCCUGUC
rnacentral:lncRNA from 1 species